GGAGUUAGCCGGUGCUUCUUCUGUGAGUGAUGUCCUUCCUGCCGGCUAUUAACCCGCAGGCCUUCUUCCUCACUGAAAGUGCUUUACAACCCGAAGGCCUUCUUCACACACGCGGCAUGGCUGGAUCAGGGUUGCCCCCAUUGUCCAAUAUUCCCCACUGCUGCCUCCCGUAGGAGUCUGGGCCGUGUCUCAGUCCCAGUGUGGCUGAUCAUCCUCUCAGACCAGCUACGGAUCGUCGCCUUGGUGAGCCGUUACCUCACCAACCAGCUAAUCCGACAUAGGCUCAUCCGAUAGCGCGAGGCCCGAAGGUCCCCCGCUUUCCCCCGUAGGGCGUAUGCGGUAUUAGCCUGGGUUUCCCCAGGUUAUCCCCCACUACCGGGCAGAUUCCUAUGCAUUACUCACCCGUCCGACGCUCGCCACCAGGGAGCAAGCUCCCCGUGCUGCCGCUCGACUUGCAUGUGUUAGGCCUGCCGCCAGCGUUCAAUCUGAGCCAUAAUCAAACUCUGA
rnacentral:rRNA from 1 species